UAUUAUUCUUUAUUCUUCAUUAAUUCUUUUAUUCUAUUAUUAUUCUUAUUUAUGAUUUUUUAGCAGAACUUGACGAAGAACCUUUUGGUUCAAAUGACUCCAUUAGAGAUGCAGACUAUCUUCCCAGUGACCAAUCAGAUGAUGGUGGCUUAGACAAUCACGUAGUACUUAGAAAUACUAAUCAAAUACCAAAAGAUACGUCAGUUGAACCAAAAAAUAAAAAGAAAAGAUGUCCCACUUUUUGGAAAAAAAAUGUUCGCAGAGACAAUAAGAAUUCGGGGCUUCCAUAUAUAAACUCAAAAGGAAAUCACGUUCCAGGCAGGUUCUUAGGUGAACCAUGCAACAAUUCUUGCAGGAUUAAAUACAAAACUCGUAUUAGCCAGGAAGAAAGGAUAAAUAUUUUUACAUCAUUUUGGAAUCUUGCAAAUGUUGAUAGGCAACGAGAUUUCCUAAAUAAUUUGGUAGAGGUUAUCGAUUGUAAAAGAAGAACACCUGGCACUAACA